ACGAACGCUGGCGGCACGCUUAACACAUGCCAGUCGAACGAGAGAAGAGAAGCUUGCUUUUCUGAUCUAGUGGCGGACGGGUGAGUAACACGUGAGCAAUCUGCCUUUCAGAGGGGGAUACCGAUUGGAAACGAUCGUUAAUACCGCAUAACAUAAUUGAACCGCAUGAUUUGAUUAUCAAAGAUUUAUCGCUGAAAGAUGAGCUCGCGUCUGAUUAGCUAGUUGGUAAGGUAACGGCUUACCAAGGCGACGAUCAGUAGCCGGACUGAGAGGUUGAUCGGCCACAUUGGGACUGAGACACGGCCCAGACUCCUACGGGAGGCAGCAGUGGGGAAUAUUGCACAAUGGAGGAAACUCUGAUGCAGCGAUGCCGCGUGAGGGAAGAAGGUUUUAGGAUUGUAAACCUCUGUCUUCAGGGACGAAAAAAGACGGUACCUGAGGAGGAAGCUCCGGCUAACUACGUG
rnacentral:rRNA from 1 species